rnacentral:rRNA from 1 species
GACGAACGCUGGCGGCGUGCUUAACACAUGCAAGUCGAACGGAGUGCUCAUGACAGAGGUUUCGGCCAAUAGAUUGAGUUACUUAGUGGCGGACUGGUGAGUAACGCGUGAGGAACCUGCCUUUCAGAGGGGGACAACAAUUGGAAACGACUGCUAAUACCGCAUGACACAUCGAGGGGGCACCCCUUUGAUGUCAAAGAUUUAUCGCUGAAAGAUGGCCUCGCGUCUGAUUAGAUAGUUGGCGGGGUAACGGCCCACCAAGUCGACGAUCAGUAGCCGGACUGAGAGGUUGACCGGGCCACAUUGGGGACUGAGAUACGGGCCCAGACUCCUACGGGAGGCAGCAGUGGGGAAUAUUGGGCAAUGGGACGCAAGUCUGACCCAGCAACGCCGCGUGAAGGAAGAAGGCUUUCGGG